GGUUUGAAACCAGACCCUUUUCCACAUUUUACUUAUUAUUACUAUAAAAGCAAUAGAAACCAGAGAUUUUCCUUCCCAUAACUCUCAGUUCGCCAUCUCCUGAGUCUGCCCUUCCUUUCAGUCCAGAAGCUUGAGUCCGUCUCCGUCACCGUUCAGCAGAAAUGGCCGACCAAAAAUAUGGUUAUCCCUACCCUGCUCAAGGGGGUUAUCCCCCUCAAGGAGGUUAUUACCAAGGCCCUCCAGUAGUGGCACCUCCACAGUAUGCUGCUCCUCCACCCAGGAGAGAACCAGGUUUCCUCGAGGGAUGUCUUGCGGCUUUGUGUUGCUGCUGCCUAAUUGACGAGUGUUGCUGCGAUCCUUCUAUCCUCUGUUUCUUUUAGAAUUAAUAUGUAUCCAUUGGAUAAUUCCACUACCAUAUAUUGUGUAUAAGUGUAAUGCUUCUUGAUUGCUAAUUUUAUUUAAUUCGGUAGAAUUUAUGUACAAGACUACUAGUUGUUUCUGUUCUGCAAUCUGUGUGGUAUCCAAAAUAGUUAUAUAUCUUCUUCAUUCACCA